GCAAGUCGAACGAGAGACCAGGGGCUUGCUCCUGGAAUCUAGUGGCAGACGGGUGAGUAACGCGUGGGCAACCUACCUACGAGCGGGGGAUACCACUUCGAAAGGGGUGUUAAUACCGCAUAACAUGAUCGAGUCUUCGGGCUUGAUGAUCAAAGCUUGGGAUCUUCGGACCAGGUGCUUGUAGAGGGGCUCGCGUGGGAUUAGUUAGUUGGUGGGGUAAUGGCCUACCAAGACAUCGAUCUCUAGCCGGCCUGAGAGGGUGAUC
rnacentral:rRNA from 1 species